rnacentral:rRNA from 1 species
UACGGGGGGGGCAAGCGUUGUUCGGAAUUACUGGGCGUAAAGGGCUCGUAGGCGGCCAACUAAGUCAGACGUGAAAUCCCUCGGCUUAACCGGGGAACUGCGUCUGAUACUGGAUGGCUUGAGAUUGGGAGAGGGAUGCGGAAUUCCAGGUGUAGCGGUGAAAUGCGUAGAUAUCAGGAAGAACACCAAUGGCGAAGGCAGCUCUCUGGGACGGUACUGACGCUGAGACGCGAAAGCGUGGGGAGCGAACAGG